rnacentral:rRNA from 1 species
AUUGAACGCUGGCGGCAGGCCUAACACAUGCAAGUCGAGCGAGCGGCGGACGGGUGAGUAAUGUAUGGGAACCUGCCUGAUAGAGGGGGAUAACUACUGGAAACGGUAGCUAAUACCGCAUACCAUCGGAUGUACCCAUAUGGGAUUAGCUAGUAGGUGGGGUAAAGGCUCACCUAGGCGACGAUCCCUAGCUGGUCUGAGAGGAUGAUCAGCCACACUGGGACUGAGACACGGCCCAGACUCCUACGGGAGGCAGCAGUGGGGAAUAUUGCACAAUGGGCGCAAGCCUGAUGCAGCCAUGCCGCGUGUAUGAAGAAGGCCUUCGGGUUGUAAAGUACUUUCAGCGGGGAGGCGUUACCCGCAGAAGAAGCACAGGCUAACUCCGUGCCAGCAGCCGCGGUAAUUC